rnacentral:misc_RNA from 1 species
AAUGAUUAAAAAUAAUAAUUAUAAAAAUUAAAAGCAAGAAAAGAUACAAAAUUCCACAUUAAGAGUACACCACAAAGAAACUAUCAAAAUGACAUUCUCAUUAAUCAGAAAGGCAGGGAUUUGAGGUGCUUCAUGGUCUUGGAUUGCAAAAAUUCAAUACAAAGAAUUAUAUCUGAAAUGAUGAUUUCCACAAAGAUUAAUCUGUUUGGGAGCAAAAUUCCCGCCUUUGUAUUAAUGUCAAAAGGUUGGCGUACUUGAAAGCUGACUCCGCGGAUGCUUAUCAUUUCACAAAUAUGGUGAGACAAUGAGGUAGACAUUUCUUUAUCUGAACUGUAUAGACUAUAGACUAUCAACAAGAGUUAAAAAUUAAAUUUGUGACCCAAUUAAUGUGGCUCAGUUGAAGGAUUACAAACUAAGGGGAGAAGAAGGAUAUGCAGGGAUCAAAUAUCAUUUUUAUCUUAUGUUUGGUUCAUGAAGCCUUCCAAUUGUAAAGCAGAAAGCUGAAGCAUCUAAUACAGUGCAAGUCAUCAAGUUAGCCGUCUUGGAUAGGAACUAAUGGUCGUCUGCCUCCACAUAUAUCAGGG